UUUAGGCCCAUCAGCCAUGAUGAUCAGAGAGGCCGACUUCAGACAAGUCUUUUCUCUGUAGCAGGCAGCUUCUUAAUGGUCCAGGAUAAAGAGACAAAACCAAACAUGAAAUGAUUUGCCCUGACUCUUCACAGCACCAGGAGGCCCUCGAUAAGCCAGAAUAUUUGCUGACCAGGAAGCUAGAGAAGAGUAGGAGGGUGUUUCUAAACAGCUACAGGGAAGCCAAAGCCAGCAAAGAUAGGAAUAGCAUUUGAGGAGCAGGCAGAGCCAUAUGGAAAGAAGAGAUUGGAGGAAAAGGACAAACUGUUGGGAGGUCUUAGGGCUCAGGCUGGUGGGACUGACACCUUGAAUGGCCUUGCACCAUGAACAGGUGAUGUGCCAACAUAGGCCAACCUGUAGGGUGAGUGUGCAUCUCAUUGGAGGCCAGGUUGGGAGGAGCCUGGAAGCAUUGCUUACCAGGCACUGGGCUGCAGCAGCUGAUGAAGCUUGGGUGGGCUGAGUUAGUCUGCUGAGGGGUUUAGAUUUGCCUGGACAAGAUUCAUGGAGUUGACCAGGCAGCAUCCCAUGAAGUCAGUCCAGGAAGAACGUCCCCAAAUUGACAGCCCUCAGCUCUUUCUUUCCCCAUCUAAGAGAGAACCUGAAGUGUGGAGCAUGCACUUGCUGAGGGUUCACUGGGAAAUGGCCACGCCCAUGGGGGCUGGUCCUUUCCUUGCUUGUACUUGUUCCUUAUGUUAUAGCUGAACAUCCCCCCUCCCCAGUGUAGGGAUCAUGGCAGAGGGCAGCGACUUGCCAACUUAUUUUAAUCCUUUUUUUUUUUUAACAAACAAAAUCUUAUAUACUAAAAUUUUUAAUACAUAAGGCAAGUAAGACUGUAGCUGCUGUCAUCUGAGUGAUCAGGGAAGCCAGUAUCCUCUUCCUCUCUGAGGAUGUUCUGUUGGGUACACAGUUUAAAAAUCACUGACAUAGGACCAGGUGUGGUGGCUCGUGCUUGUAAUCCCAACACUUUGGGAGGCCGAGGUAGGAGGAUCACUUGAGGCCAGGAGUUCGAGACCAACCUGGCCAACACAGUGAAACCCCAUCUCACUAAAAAUAGAAAAAAUUAGCUAGGCAUGAUGGCACAUGCCUAUAAUCCCAGCUACUUGGGAGGCUGAGGCAUGAGAAUCACUUGAACCUGGGAGGCAGAGGUUGCAGUGAGCCGAGAUCGCACCACUGCACUCCAGCCUAGGCGAUAGAGUGAGACUCCGUCUCAAAAAAGAAAAAAGAAAAACCACUGACAUCACUAGAAGAGCCCAGAAUUUAAAGUUAGAACACUCAGGUUCUAAUCCCAGCUCUGCCAUGGAAAAAGAGUGUGGCUUUCAAGAAGUCAUUUAGCCUCUCAGACUAUUUUUCAUCUGUGAAAUGAAGAUAAUUCUUGUCUGCUUCAGAUGUGGUUGUGAACAUCAAGCACAACCAUGUGGGGGAAAGCAGCUGUAAAAUGCCAUAUAAAUGUGAAAUAUUCCUUUCCUUGGCUUUUCCACGUUUGCAUAGCUCCAUGACUUCUCCACAUCCAGGGGCUAGGGGACAAAGCCAUACCAUUUGGGACCAAACAGUAUGAUCUACUCGCUUUUCUGAUGUCCAAAAAGAGAUGGUCAUUUGAAGGUAUAUUUCUUUGGGUUUUUCUCCUCCUCCAUGCUGUUAUUCUUGGAUUGCCCUUUUCACUUUUCUCUGCCAGUCAGACCCAUUCUGUAUCUCAGUCCACCACAUGCAGAGACCCAAAUCUGCUGCCCACAAGAGCACUCACCCGGGUCGCAGUCUCUUCCACACAGGUGCUCCUUGUGUGCUAGCCGAUUGUCGUUUAGAUUUUAUAACUCUCUGGAAAAUCCAUCUUAGCAGAGAAUAACAAGGUCAUUUCCUCUACUUCUCCAAGAAUACCCCAGGUCCAUACAAAAGAAAAGCACCAACUCUCUUCUCUGGGUUGCAUCAGGGAAACUUAUUUCUAGUGGUUCUCCUAUUGUUCAAUGCUUUAUGUUGCAGCAUUAUACGUGGAAAAAAUAUCCGAGAGACUGACAGUGUAUUCACCCCAGAUCCUUCCUCUUGAGGCCAGAGGUGUUAGGAAUGAAGAUGGUAUUGGUGCGGAAAGUGGUUUAAUGCUGGGGUUCAACAGAGAGGACCAUGUCAAUUCCUCACGGUCCUGGGCAGACUUAAAUAACGGGCUUAAUGUGGAGGUGGUUUUGUACACUCUGGUGCCUGUGCUGUUCCUAGCUUUUCCACCAGCAGUCCACACUGCUGAGGGUUGCCUUCUAUAGUAGUCCCCUCUUAGCCUCAGUUGCACUUUCUAUGGUUUCAGUUACCCACGGUCAACCAUGGUCUGAAAAUAGGUGAAUAUGAUACAAUUAGAUGUUUUGAGACAGAAAGAGCCCCCAUUCAUGUGACUCAUUACAGCAUAGCAUUAUAAUUGUUCUAUUUUAUUAUCAGUUAUUGUUGUUAAUCUCUUACUGUGUCUAAUUUGUAAAUUAAACUUUAUCACAGGCAUAUAUAGGGAGAAACAGUAUAUAUAGGGUUUGAUACUACCCAAGGUUUCAGGCAUCUACUGGGGAUCUUGGAUGUCAUACAAUACAGUAGUCCCCCUUUGAAUAAAGUGAAGACUACUUAAAUAAGGGGAGACUACUGUAUUGCACAACACUAAGAGUGGGAAACUGACGAAAGUGGCAUAAGUUGUAUCUCCACGUUCCCAGCUAUAUAUAGUUACCACCUAUAUACCAAAGGCAUGUGGGUGUAGGUAUUGUGUUAAAUGGGAUAGACUUUGAUUUCUGGGUUAGGAUCUCAAUUGGUGUUAUUGUGAUAUCUACUAGUAGAAUGGCUUCAGGCCUGUGACAUCAAUAGUCCCCACCUUAAGAGAGAACCAGUGGGCUCACCUGAAGGGCCAGUGGUUUCAAUGACCCACUGUGGGCAGAGCAGGAAUUGGACUUCAUUUGAUUGAUUGAUUGAUUGAGAAAGGGGUCUUGCUCUGUUGACCAGUUGACCAGGCUGGUUUUGAACUCUUGGCCUCAAGUUAUCCUCCUGCCUCAGCCUCCCAAAGUGCUGGGAUUACAGGUGUGAACCACUGUGCCUGGCCAGGAAUUGGACUUCAAAUGGGGGCAAACCAAUCUGCCACAUAUCCUACAGACUAAUAGAGCUUAAUUUAGUGGCUGCUUACUCAGAAGGGAUUUACUUCUUCUUUUCCCAUCUGUUUGGAUGUUUCCUAUAGGUUCAGAGUCCAUCUGACUUUAGUGGAGCCAUGGAGACUCUUGCUGGAACUGUGCAGCCCAUCUUUGCAUUUUCUUUUGAGUGGCAUCGUCCAGUGAAGAGGAAGAAUAAAUGAGGUGAAAGGAGAGAGGCCACUAGCAGGGAACUCUAGCUCUGAUUUCCUGGCAGCAAAAUCUGCUCCUCUUGCCAGAGGGGCACUUGGGGCUUUACUGUUUGGCCUCUUCCCACUGCUCAUAUCUGUUUCUUGAUAUUCCUCCAAAAUGUACCAGUCCUUCUAAGACCAGACAUCAGGACUCUGAGUUCUUCCAGGGAGUGACAUAGAAAGAGAGGCUUCUUUUUCUCUCCUAUUCUCUUCAUUCCUGCAACCCAACCCUGUAUCUUUCCAUCGUGCCAAGGAAGCAUCACACACACUGCUCCAUAGUCCCUACUCCAUAGUCCUCACAGGCAGGGCCUCCUGUCCUCCCAUCUGCCUGGCAUCACCCAGUACACAGGUCCCAGUGGCGCGUCCUGAUGCCUGGGCUCACCAGCUUUCAAGUAGGAGACCAGAGAACUCACUGGGAAGUGGGUGUAAAAUAUGUUUAGUGCCCACAUUAACAUUUCAUUCUGGUUAUGCACCAUCAAGGGGCCAGAGAGCAGAUGGGAUAAUUAAAAUCUCAAGACAAUUGGUUUUAACUUCCUUCCCCAUUAGACCUUUCACCAGUGCAAUUAAUUUCCCUAUUUUUCUCCUUUUAUUUUCUUUAAUCAACCUCUGUUUAGGGAGCUAAUGAGCCAUGACAAGAACAAAAGGCCAGCAGCCAAGAGGAGGGGGAAAUAGGAGCUGGCAGACCAGACCGGACUGCGGCUCCUGAGCUGGUUGUUUCCCUUCUCAAAGGCGCAAGUAAGGUGUCGCUGUCCUUUACUCCGCUCAAAACUUUAGGCCUCCUCUGCGAGGCUGCUCCCCUCCAUGGCACCCACCCACAGGGCAGAAAUGCAGAAAGCAAGGCUUUGCCUCUAGGGUGGGAGGGGAGGGAGGAGCUGGUUCCCAAGGGAACAAGGAAUCCCGUUUGAGAGACUAGGAUGUUCUCAGCCUCAGAACUGGCUUGCGAGCUGGCCAAACAUGCAAAUACCCACAGGUGCAGCAUGUAAAAGAGAAGUGGCCUUGGGUGAGGCUGCAGGGGCAGCUGGCCGCACAUUUUGCAUAUGCUCCUAGGAAGCUAAAGUUAGGCUCUGGUUUACCCCAGGUGUAGGGGCCACAUUUAGCUAUUCCUCACCACUGAGCAAGGGGCUUGCUGCAUUAUUUGGCUAGGGCAGGGUCUGGCUUGCCCUCUGAGUCCUGAAUUGGGUCCCGGGCCAUUGCUGUAUUUGGGUAAGGUUAGGGUAAUCACAACUACUCUUUCCCUUCCCCCAACCAAGUCUGAACAUCAUCGAUUUAACACCUAAGAUGGACUUGAAGGAUUGUCUCCAUCCCAGAGCUAAGACAUCACCAGGAUUCCAUACUAGCAGACCCCAAUCUGGUUUGCUCAUGGACUUCGCCUGUACCAUUUCUCCUAACCAGUCUUCUACAGCAUCACUUGCUCUGCUUGGCACCCUGCCAGCCUCUGACCCCUAGAUGGGCCUUCCUUUUUGUGGCCCAGCCUCAUCCCCAUACCCGAUGCUCUGCUUCUCUGGCCUCCCAUUUUUCUCUCUUCUUUGGCCACAGUUUGAAUUCCUAUUCCGAUGAGCUACCUUGAGCCACGUGGCUCACUCCUAGGACCUCAUCCAGUUCCCCAUGUGUGCAGGACCCAGGAGUCUGGAGGAGGGAGCGGCCUCAAAGACCAGAGGAGGGGGAGGGUGUCGAUCAGAGACUGGCACGGGGAGAGGAGGUGUAGGCUGUUGGUGCUGAGGGGAUGCCUGCACCCCUCAGGUCUUGUUUCUUCCUCCACCAGCUGCCCCCUCCUCCCAGAAGUGGGAUCUGAGCCACCCCAGGGUCCAGGCCAGGAACAAGGGCCCUGUUUGCCACACUCCAGGGCAUCUGUGUUGUGCUAAAGGCAUGGUGCCCUCUUUUUUCUUUUAUAAAGAGUUCAGGAUGUGCCCUGAGGAGGAGGGAUGGGGAGGGAAUGGUGGUGGUCAGAGGAUGUGAAGCAUCCACUUAGGGUCAGAAAUUGCCAUGUGUCAGUGGGUGUCAGGGGCAGGUGAAGUCUUUAGUGGUCUCUGAGACCUUGUACUAGUGGGGUGAGAGGGGAGGAUGGAGUAGGGAGAGAUCAGACCCCCUAUCCCAUCUUCACCUUGGGCAGCCACCCAGUCAGUGAGGAAGAGCGCAUUCCUUUUUUUGGUCCUGGAGCUUAAGGGCUGUUCUCUUGUUGGUAGAAAGCUAUAGAUUCUAAUGCUUCCAAAUCAGAGACAGAGGCUGGCUGUGACUGGAUUCUGGUCACUAGAAUCACAGCGAGGAAGGCUGAAGCCUGUGACGGGGAAGUGUCUAGGAAAUCAUUGCCCGUAAUCCUCCCUGGGCUAUUUUUUUUUACAUGGUGGUUUUUCCUAGUUCAUUGACAGUGAUGACCGGUUCCCUACAGAGCUGGCCACCUUGCUGAGUGCACUGGAUGGCACACAGUGACAACAAAUGACACAGAAGCCUCUCUUCUCGAGGACUCGAGGAGUUAAAUAUCUGAUGGAGAAGAGAAGACAGGACCCAGGCACAAGCAGCGCAAUCUGUAUGAACAAAUACAAGAAUCACAUACUCCACAGUCCCAUGAGCCACGGGGAUAGAUAGCAAAGGGUUCCCCAGCAGCCCUGGCAGGCAGGUAGACAGCCACAGCUAUGCGGGCCCUUAGGUCAGCCCUCUCAGAUGAUCUGAAACCACUUCAGUCUGUCUGAAGCUCUCAUGAACAUUUCCUGUUAAGUAUUGUUUUCAAUAAUUUAUUCUGGAGGAGAUGUUGGCUCCCCUGGGAAUCACUUUGCAGCACAUCCCCUCCAGAGACCAGCUACAGACAUCAGGCGCCAGGAUAGAAGAGUCGCUCUGUGUAGACGGUGGACCAGGAAUAAGGUUGCCUCAAAAAAAUAAUAGCUGACAUCCGCCCCACCCUCCACUCUUCAAUCAAGCCAGUCAGGCAAUGAACCUUUUCACACCUGAGGGAUUAUUUUUGCUUUUGUCUGAUUCUGCUGUGUUAAAGGAAACAAGUGUUGAGAAAGGUAAGUUGUAAAAGAAAACUGCUGCCUUUCCCUGAUUAACUGGGAACUGACAUAGAGGAGAUUUUCUUCUUAGGGAAGUCGAAGUGGGAGAACAGAAUCGGGGGUUCUGUUCCCUGGUUAGCUCUUUGUUCUGGGGGGCUGUCCUAUGCAUUGCAGGAUGUUUAGCAGCACCCUGGCCUCUGUGACUAUGCACUUCCUCUGCUUGUGACCAUUGACAGUGUCUCCUGAUGCUGCCCAAAAUCUCCCUGUGGGCAGUAUCACCUGUAGCUGAGAGUCACUGCCACAGAUUAAAGAGGAUGGAGUCCCAGGCAGCACCAGGGAUGCCCCCGGCCGCCUGCUUUGGAAAGGGCUCAACUCCCUAAAAUAGAAACAAACCCCAGAAGUGUCUGUAGGUCACAGAAUUCAGCAUGGCUGAAAUUUGAGUGAUGUGCACUGCUUUCUCAAGAAAAAAAAAAAAAAGGAUGAUUUCCAGUGUUAACAUAAACCACUUUUAUAAAGAUUGUUAGUUGGAUGUACACAAACAUAAAAUUGGGUAUACAACCCUUGUAAGUUUUCUACAACUAUAAAAUCAAAAUAAGUUCAUGAUUUGACAAAUCAAAUAUAAAACCAAUAAAACUCAAGGUAACAUUAAUUGAAUGAGACAGAUAGUGUGAUUUUGUGGAGUCAAAUUGCCCCUUGCUUGGUAACUCAAGCACCGAGUCGGUUCUCUGAGCUGGGCACGCCUUACACCUGCAUUGUCUCAUGACUUAAAUCUCACGUGGCAUCGUCUCUUCAAACUCCUAUGGAAACACUGGUUGUGGGCCUUCUGUGAGCUCACUUGGCAAGUACAUACUCUACUAAGGCCACUUGCGUUUUCUUCUGAUUGGCAAUUAACAGUUGACAACUGGCAAUUAAAAUAGCGCAUCUAGGUUGCAUUGUGAUUGUGAACACUGAGCAAGGCUGGCACUGUACACUCAAACGUGGACAUAGGGAGGACCCCAAAUAUGCUUAUAUUCUUUAGAUUCUUGUCCAAAUGAAAAGAAUUUUAUAUUUUAAAAAUGACAAACUUCCAACAGAUGACUCUUAGUAAUAUAUUAGGAGACUCUCAGAGGAGCAGAUCCAGUCUGGGCCUCUACAGAUGAGAAACCAAGCCUAGAGAAUUGCCUGGGGAAAGAGAUGUGGAGGAGCAGAGCUGGCUGGGAAGCAGCCCUUGCCUGGGAGCUGAUGCUCCUUCCUUUCCUCUGGCUGUCCUUCCAGCACAACACUGUAGAAUUCUGAGGCACAAUGGUGCAUAGAUUCGGCUUGUUGUUUUGAAUGUUCAUUCAACUGAACUGAAUACUUAAAGUUCAUUUUUUAAAGGUACUAAAUUGAACUAGGGAGUUUCUUUUUCUAGAUUUUGAUCUUUCAGUAUUUAGUAGUAUGACUAGAAAGCAUCAUGUGUGUGUAUGUAUGUGUGCGUGAAACAUAACGUACAUCCACAAACUAUGGAAGUAAAGAUCCAGUUCAGUGAAUGAUGAUGAAGUAAAAACCCAUGAAACCACAGCCAGGUCAAGAAAUAGAACAUUUCCAGAGUGCAGAAGUCUCAGAGUAAGCUCGGUCACAAUUCUUUUUCUCCUCUAAAAGUAACCACCAUCCUCACUUUUAUUAUAACAAUUUCCUUGCUUUUCUUUAGAGUUUUACUAUCUCUAUAUGCAUCCCUAAACAAUGUAGUUUAGCUUUGCCCGUUUAUAAGCUUUAUAUCAAUGGACCCUGACUCUGAGUAUUUGUGUCUUGCUUCUUUUCUUCAACAUUAUAUUUAUUAACUCCAACCAUGCUGUUGUUAAGUGGCUCUAAUUCUUAUGCUUUCUAUGACAGGCCAGCAUUUGGUUUGGUUCCAGCUUGGGGCUAUUACAAACACUGCUUCUCUACACAUUCUUGUAUACAUCCUGGUCCACAGCAUAUGCAUGUACACCUGCCUUGAUGGCAUUUUCCCACAUCAGAAUUUCUCCACUUGUGAAUAGGGUGUGUGAAUCUUUAACCUUAGUAGAGAAUGGCAACUAUUUGCCAAAACUUUGCUUCAAUUUAAACUCCCAAAAGCAGACUGGGUGCGGUGAUCACACCUGUAAUCUCAGCACUUUGGGAGGCUGAGGUGGGAGGAUCGCUUGAGCCCAGGAAUUCAAGGCCAGCUUGAACAAUACAGUGGGACCCCAUGUCUACAAAAAAAAGAAAAAAAAAUAGCUGGGUAUGGUGGUCCACUCCUGUAGUCCCAGCUACUUGGAAGGUGGAGGCUGCAGUGAGCCAUGAUCGCGCCACCGCACUCCAGCGUGGGUGACAGAGCAAGACCCUGACUCAAAAAAUAAAUAAAAACAAACUUCCAACAGCAGCGGUUCUCACUAUAUUCCAUCCUCAACAGCACUUGUUAUUGUCAAACUUUAAAACUUCAACUGAUCAGGUGGCUGUGUAGUGAGUAACAUUUCACUGUGAGUUUAAUUUGCAUUUCCCUGAUUAUUAAACAAAACCAAGAAUCUUUUACUAUGUUAAUUGGCCACAUGAAUUUCCUGUUAUGUGCCUGUUCAAAUCUUUUGACAUCUUGCUAUUGCCAAAUUUAAAUUUCCUUUUUAAAUAAAUUUCAUAUUCAUUAAAAUUACAUUUGACAGAAAAGUAUGUCCGUCUUCCAGGGUACCUCUGCACACCUGAGAACUGUAUAUAGCUAAAGGUAAAAUGUCUAAGAUCUGUAAGCUUAUAAGCAAUUUUUUUUUACUAUAAGUCAUUGAAAAGAUUAUAACAAUAGUUCACAGAAAAACAUGGAUUUAGAUCAUUUUUUCUUAUCUCUAUUUUCAAAUCUAACAUCCUUUUUUUGAAUUUUGUCCCCUCAUUUCCCUAUACUUUCAUAGAGAACAAACAUACUCCUAUAUAUCACAGUCCUUUGUUAAAAUCAAGUGCAACCAAAGUUAUUUAUUAUUCUAUUCUGUAUUUCUCAUGCUGUGUGCGAUAUGAAUUGUUAGAAGUUAGCUAAAUGUCUGUAAUAAAGUAGUGACACUAUUGUAUAUAUGACCUUUGCAGCUGAGAUAAUAUUAAGUAAAAUAUAAAUGGCUACAAUAGUUAUACAUAUCUAAUAAAAAUAAAUAAACAGCUCACCCAAGCCUGACAUCUAGCUUUUGCUCACCUUAUCUCCUUUAGACAUUUGGGUAUGAGCUCACUGGCAAAGAGUGAAGCCCAUAUAAUCUACCAUUAAAUAAAUUAUUCAGUAAUCUGUGAUGUCCUUGUAACAUGAGAAUCCCCUAUUUAAAAAAAAAUAGCUGCACUGCUUACAGAGGCACAUGCCUGCUAUUUAUAGUCUUUAUGGAAGUUGCUUUGCUAGCAAAUCCAACUAGAACUCCCCGGGAAUCUACAAGGAUUGAUGUUUACUGCAGGGUUUUUACACUGAGCUAUUUUGCAUAUGUGUGGGUGUGUGAUGCACACACAGAGGACUGACGGAGAAAGCCCAAGCAGGUAUGAGGUAUUUGUUAGCUCUGCUCCAUUUUCCUCUUAACAUUCAGGAAACUCAAAUAGGGACAAAGUAACUACAGGUCACCCACAGAUCCAGUGAUAUGUAUUCCUGACUGUAUCCAGGCAACUGGGGCUCUACUUUUUUCUAAGAAGACAUGUUAGUUCUCUGCCAACAAUGUCAGAUUUCUCUCACAGACAAAGCAGACCCAGGGGCACUGAGCCUCCCUUUUUACUUCCCCUUUUCCCCCAGGUGCGAGUAUGAUGUCCUGAAGACAGGAGGGGAUGUGGGUUGCAGGGAGUCAAGGAAUCAGGGAGGCAGCUUGCAGAUCAGAGUGGGGCAGAUGGCCUACAUGAAUUCUCAUUCUGGAAGGGCUGGAAAAGAAACAGCCAGGUUGGCUGGGCAUGGUGGCUCACACCUGUAAUUCCAGCACUUUGGGAGGUAGAGGUGGGUAGAUCACUUGAGGCCAGGAGUUCGAGACCAGCCUGGCCAACAUGGUGAAACCCCAUCUCUACUAAAAACACAAAAAUUAGCCAGGCGUGAUAGUGUGCACCUGUAAUUCCAACUACUUGGGAGACUGAGACACAAGAAUCGCUUGAACCCUGGAGGUGGAGGUGGAGGUUGCAGUGAGCCAAGAUGGUGCCACUGUACUCCAGCCCGGGUGACUGAGUGAGACUCUGUCUCAACAACAGAAAAAGAAAGAAACAGCCAGGUGUCUAUUUUUUCAUAGUUUCAAUUAAUUUUUUGAUUAGAAAAAUAUUUUAUAAAUAUAGAAACUUAAUUGGUAUGUGGAUGAAGCAAUUCUCUUUAUAAAAGGCUCAGAAUAGCCAAUUAACUCCAUUUUCAUGAAGUAUAUGUCGUGUUAACUUUUGAGUUGACAAUUAUCAAAAAGGUUUCAUCAAGUGAAACUUGACAUCAAGUUAUGUGUCAAAAGUAGGCAUAGAAUUCUUGGCAUACUGAAAAAGUAUGGACAGGCAAGUGAAAUGGAAUUAUGUGAAAUAUUACUUGGAUUUUUCUAACAUGUUACACAGCUAUUCAGUAAUUAAAAUGUUUCUGAAAAAUAAAAAUAUAAAAGCUGCACAAAUAUUUAGUAACAAAAGUUGAAAAGUACAAAUUGUUUUUUAAAACGAAAUAACUUCAGUGAAAUUUUACUACACACCUAUCAGAAUGGUUAAAAUUUAAAAUAGUGACCAUAUCAAUUGCUGAUAAGGAUGUAGAAAAACUGAAUCUCUCAUACAUUGCUGGUGGGUAUAGCCACUCUAGAGAACAUUUUGGAAGUUUCUUAUAAAACUAAACAUGCAAUUACCACAAAACCCAGCAAUUUCACUCUUGGGUACUUAUCCCAGAAACAUAAAAACAUAUUUUAUGUUCACACAAAACCCUAUAUACAAAUGUCCACAGCAGCAUUAUUUAUAAUAGGCCCUGGAAACAACCCAGAUGUCUCAGUGGGCAAAUGGUUAAACAAACUGUGGUGCAUCUAGACCUUGGACUACUACCCAGCAAUAAAAAGGGAGCAAACCAUGGAUACACACAAAACUUGGAUGGAUUUCAAGUGAAAAAGCCAAUCCCAAAGAAUUACGUAUGUUAUGAUUUUAUUUAUAUAACGUUCUUGAAACCAUAAAAUUAGUGUGAGAGAGUAUAGUUUAGUGAUUGGCAGGGGUUAGGGCCAGGGGGUGGAGGAUGGAAGGAGAGGGAAAUAGAUUAUGUUACAAAAAGGCAACAUAAGAGAUGGUGAUUGAUAUACAAACCUCCACAUGUGAUAAAAUGGCAUAGAAUUAAAUACACGUGCACGUGCACACACACACACACACACACACACACAGAGUAAAUGUAAGACAGGAGGGAAAUCUGAUCAAGAUCUAUGGAUUGUACCAUCAAUUUCCUAGUUGUAAUAUUGCACAUACUAGAGUUUUGUAAGAUGUUACCAUUGGAAGGAAACUGUGGAUAAAAGACACAUUGUAUCUCUCUGUAUUAUUUCUUACAACCCGAUGUGAAUCUAUAAUUACCUCUAUUUAAUUAAAUUGUAAAAAGUUAAAUGGAAUCUAACUAAUAUUCUCAUGAUAUAGUUGUUAACCCUGUACAGAAAAAGAACCCAAGUAUGAAGCCAAAGAAAGAGCAGUGGUGAAGCCUGAAAAAAGCUCAAAGCGCGGGACAAAGGCAGAGCUGGAGCUGUUCCUGCACCUGUGGGUGUAUGGGGAGCAGGGGAGAGAAGGUAUCAGCACAGGUCAUUUUUAGGGUGCCAGGGCAGGGUUGAGGAGGGAGUUCUUAGCAGUAGAAACCCACUGUGUGCUAACAGCAGUGAGGAGAGUCCUAGCAGCAAGGGUGGGAACAGAUAGGCAGCUUCCAAUGGGUGCCCAAGGUCCAAGCAUGAGUUUUUUUUUAACUCUAGAAACCCAAACAUACACUAUUUGAUAAAACUAAAAUUACUUUAGCUGCUGGAAGCAAAUCUGUGUUUUUUGUGAUCGAUUCAAACCACAGAUAGAGCAGGGGAUUGUCUUUCGGUAGGUGUGAAUGGGGCUGUAUUAGUCACCAGAGUUUCAAGUGUGCUUCUGUUUAGUUAUCAAACUGCAAUUCCAUUGAUACCCCGUCUUGAGUGUCUCCUCUGUGAGUAACAUGAAAAGGACCUCUGGUUAAAUAGAAAACUUGUCUUGAAUUUGGAAUUACAACAUGCCCUUACUUAUUCAGGACUCAAUUAACUGAGCUUCAGGAUAAUCCAAGGUGAAGAAAAACAAGAGCUGACAAAGAAAAGAAAUGGUGCUGCUGGGUUAGGGUCUCCCCAACUGAGCUGGUCUCAGCAAGUGGCGUCCAUUCGUGGGAGCUUGAAUCCAGGUCGAAGGGUCACCGGAGCAAUGGUUGGAAUGGAAAACUAGCUGGAGGACACCCGAGUACUCUAAAAGCAAUCCCCAUGGCCAAAAUCAACAGCCAAUUUGGAUACCAUCAAGACACCUGAAACCUUAUCAUGAGCCAGAUGCCAAGGAAGAGAUUCGGGAGGAUCCUGAGGACCCCCCGGUUGCAGCCAUGUUGAGACUGAUGCUGAGGAGGACCCCAACUGUCACGAGCAACACCCGUCGACCACAGCCACCCACCUGGGGACAGAUCAAGAAGCUGUCACAGAUGGCGGAGGAAAGCGGAACAACCAGUCACAAUGAAUAAUUUAAUGGUAGCUAUGAUAGUGGUUAUCACCACUGCCGUGAGUAUUCCUACAAUAAGGGCUGGUAAUAACGCCUGGAUGCAAUCACUCUAUGACACAGUUACAUAUGCUUUCUGAUCUCAGUAUUUACCAUAAUAAAUCUGCUCCUAUAAUUGAGGCAUACCACCCUUAAAAACCUAUUUGUAAACAGGAUUGGACCCAGUUAGAAAAAAUGAACACAAUUGUUUAGGAAGAUUGCCUUGCAGAACAGGCAGAGAUGCUGCACAACGAUUCCUAUGGAAUCAUUAUUAAUUGGUCCCCUAAGGGGAUGUUUAGCUUGAAUUGCACCUCUCAGUCUGCGUGCCACAGUCACACUAUGUUUAGAUGAUCUGAACAAAACAGUCAGAUGGUAGAAAUGUUAAGAAGUACGGCAAAAGUUCCUAUUAUGUGGAACCAUGGCGGUAUAGUGGCACCUCAACCUCAAAUGAUAUGGCCUGCUCUAGGAGCUAAACAUAAGGAUUUGCGGAAACUAUUAAAUGCUCUUAAUAAGAUCAAAAUUUGGGAAAGAAUAAAAAAGCAUCUAGAAGGACACUCUACAAAAUUGUUUUUGG